rnacentral:misc_RNA from 1 species
UCAACCGGCCAGUCGAGCUCCGGGCUCCAAAGUCUUUUUACCUCAAGUGUUUAUAUUUUUUAUUUUACAUUUGUGUGUAUAUUAUUAACAAGUAAAGGAUUUUUUUAUUUUCAACUGAAAAUUCAAGAUAGCAUGUCUUGACAAGUUAAUGAAUCUUCAAAACGGAGACACGGAAGUUAAGGGUUUACCAAAAUGGCGCGUGAUAAGGAUCUUCCGCGAAAUUACACGGUAACAAAUGUUGCUAAAAUCUUCCAUAAUUUUCCACAUGUUAAUGUGUCUCUACACUCAGUCAACAAUACCUUCAAUCCUCAUUCAGAGAUUUAUCUCGAGUCUUUGGGUAUACUAGCAAGCCUGCCAGCAGUAUGGCUAAUUUUAACACUUCUGGUACUGUUAUUGUAUUUGGUAACAAGAUGUUGUGAUAGAAAACCACGUCCAAGAAGAUCAAUAACAUUAUUAAAAUGUUUAUUAGCAAUAUUAGCAGUAAUAUGCUCAGCAGUUAUUGCAAUUGGUUUAUGGGGUAAUGAUGAUGUACACAAUGGUAUCAUAAAAUUUCUUGAAUCAGCUAAAAAUAUUGAAACAAGUAUAACAUCAAUUAAAAAUCGUACAAAUAUCAUUGAAUUAACAUUAAAAAAAAAUUUAGAACCAGGUAUAACAUCAAUGCGUGAUGAAUUUGAUAAUCCAGUUGGAAAUAAAACAGCAUUAGAUUAUUUAUUAAAAACAUGGGAAAAUAUGUCAUACAAUACAAGUAUUGUACUAAAUAAAAGUAUGGAAAUACGUAAACCAUUAAAUGGUAUUGAUUUAAAAUAUGCAAUUAAUAUUGGUAAUAAAAUUGAAUUUUAUAGAUAUCCAUUGACAAUGGGUAUACUAAGUGGUUUACUAAUAUUAUGUGUAAUUCUGCUGGUCGGAGUUGCACGUCAUUCAAGAUGUGCAUUAAUAACAUUUUCAGUAUUUGGUUUAUUUGCUGUUAUAAUAUCAUGGUUAAUGUCAUCCAUGUAUUUAUCAAUAUCAGUUGCACUUGGUGAUUUAUGUAUAUCACCAAAUAAUUAUUUAACAAAUAAUUUACCAUCAACAUUGUCAUCUGAGGUAUUAAAUUAUUAUACAAAUUGUGAAAAUAUGAGAAAUAAUCCAUUUACACAACGUUUAAGAGAAGGACAAGCAGCUGCUGUUAAUAUGAGAACAAGUCUUCUUACUGCUGAACGUAUUGCACUUGAUUUAUUUAAAGAUCGUCAACUUGGAACAAAGUUAAAUAGUUUAAGAACAGAUGUUAAUAAAAUUAAUGUUGAUAUAUCUGGUUUAACAGCAUUAUUAGAUUGUAAUCCAUUACAUAUACAAUAUAUACUUGCUGUUAAUAAUAUUUGUGACACUGGAUUUUUUGGUUUAACAUUAAUGUUAAUAGCAAGUGUUGGUGCUGGUUUAUUAUUUACAAUUAUGGUAUGGAUUGAUUCACAUACAUGGAUUUACAUAAGAAAACGAAGAGAUUAUCACCAAGUUGAUGAACAGGAUCCAUAUUUACCACCAUCAGCAGCAUCACAAGCAAUUGCAGCAAGGACACUUCGUGGCCAAGGGUCGUACCCGCCUACAGCCCCUCCUCUUAAUCAGAAUGCUCAUGAGGUGGGGGGAUUAACGGAAAUGGAGGAACAAUUGAUCACAAAUCGGCUCAGCAUAAUCAGCACGCUACGAGUGGACGAGGUGAGCACAGAUCUGGACUCGGAGAUCAACCUGGUCAGUACGCAACUUUAAGUAAACAGUGCAAAACACUUGAAUCCAGUGAUUUUUACUGAGGGCACGCCCCCUCGGGACCCGGUAGAGAACCACCUUGGACUCCCAGUGUGGCAUCAUUUACUGGUACGAUAUCUCAUAAUUCUCAUGGACCGGCACAUUUAGCAACAUUUCAAGACUCACGUAAAACUCAAACACUUGAUCCAAAAAAUUUGGCAAAUUUAAAACGUGGACCAACACAAGCAUGGAAUCAAAAUCGUCCAUUACCACCAAAUCCAACAAAUCAACCAACAUGGGAAUUUGAAUCACGUUCACAAACAAAUAUGAAUCAAUUUCGUUCAUUAGUACGUAAUAAAACAUCAAACAUUCGUAUACAAGAUCAAAUGCAAGAUCAAGUACGUACAUUAGAUAGAAAUUUUAAUCGUGGACAAUAUAAUAAUCAUAAUAAUAAUAAUAACAGUAAUAAUAAUAAUAUGACAAAUGGUAAUGGUGUACCAAAUAUGUAUGGUACAUAUAAUCGUUCACAUAAUCGUCAAGAUAAAGCAUCAGCUGUGCCAACAUUGAGUCAGGUGCAAGGAAGUGAUCCAAAUCUCUAUGCAGUCACGGAAUUGUAAAAAUAAUAACAAUACACAUACACACACAUGAAUAUUUAAUAUUUAAAACAACAAAAAAAAUAAAUAUCAAAUGAGUUAAAAUAAUAAUAAUAAUGAUUAUGAAAAAAAAAAGAAUGUUAAUACGUAGCCGAAGAAUGAAAAACCAAAGCAAGAGAGUAAUGAGAAAAAAAAAACAAAAUAAUAAUUAAAGAAACAAAACAAAAAAAAGUUGAAGAAAGAUAUUUGAGUACUUGAAACUUUUUUAAAAAAAACGAGGGGGCGAAAUAAAUUGGUUUUAUUUUAUUUUUCUUUGAAUAAUUGGGAUUGAUAAGAAAAAGUAAGCUUUGAAUUGAAAAUUAUAAUAAUAUUUUUUAUUUUCUAUGCUGAUUUAUAAUUACGUUUUAGUUGUUGUCUUUUUAAUUGUAAUAUUUUGUUUAAUUAUAUUUUUUUGCGUUUGAUUUAUUUGAUAUGCAAAAAAAGACAAAUUUUAAAUAUCGCUAAUGAUUUAAAUAUUUUUUUUUUUUUUUUUACAUCACAAAAAGAAUGAAAGAAAAUUUAAAAAAAAAAUGAAAAAAUAUGAAAAUUAAUUUGAGCACAAAUUUGACGACAACUAUUACAUUUAAUGUGAGAGGGAUACCAAAAGACACACACAUUUUUCAAUUUCAUAUAAAUUUUAAUUUUUCAUUAUUAAAUACAAAAUUGCGCAAUUUUUUAAUGUCAAUAUAAUAUUUGUGAAUAAUAAUUUUAUAAUUAUUUUAAAUAUUCAAAGAAUCUCAUGAAUAUUUUAACAACAAAAAUAAAAUAAAAUAAAAGUACUACAAUUGCAAAAUGUUAAUUAAGUAGAUUUAAAAUAAAGAAAAAAAAAAAAACUGCCAUCAAGAUUCUUUAGCAAACAUGAAAAACCAACAAAAUAAAUUAAAAUGUUUUUAAAAAACAUUAUCAUUUUAUAUUUUUCUCUUCGUACUUAUUGAAAUAAAUAAAUAAACAUCACUUGGGAUUAAUAAAACAUCAUCAACAUAAUUUAAAAAAAUAAAAACAACGAAGUCAUUAUGACGAAAUGGGUCAAUAAUCCGAAAUAUUAAAAAUGGCAUAAUUCUGUACAUAAGUAGUUAAAAAAUAUAAGGUUUAUUAAUUAGACGGUGUAAAGUGUGAUAAUAUUAAUCAUCAAUGUUCUCUCGAGAUGAUAGUUUUAAAGAAAUAAAAAAAAAAAAAUUAAUAAAAAAAAAAACAGUGCCAUUC